rnacentral:rRNA from 1 species
GCCAUGCAUGUCUCAGUACAAGCCGCAUUAAGGCGAAACCGCGAAUGGCUCAUUAAAUCAGUUAUGGUUCCUUAGAUCUUACACUUUUUACAUGGAUAACUGUGGUAAUUCUAGAGCUAAUACAUGAAACUAGUACCCCGACUUUGCGGAAGGGGUGCUUUUAUUAGAACAAAACCAAUCGGUCGGCUCGUCCGUCCGUUGCCUUGGUGACUCUGAAUAACUUUGGGCUGAUCGCACGGUCCUAGCACCGGCGACGCAUCUUUCAAAUGUCUGCCUUAUCAACUGUCGAUGGUAGGUUCUGCGCCUACCAUGGUUGUAACGGGUGACGGGGAAUCAGGGUUCGAUUCCGGAGAGGGAGCCUGAGAAACGGCUACCACAUCCAAGGAAGGCAGCAGGCGCGCAAAUUACCCACUCCCGGCACGGGGAGGUAGUGACGAAAAAUAACGAUACGGGACUCAUCCGAGGCCCCGUAAUCGGAAUGAGAACACUUUAAAUCCUUUAACGAGGAUCUAUUGGAGGGCAAGUCUGGUGCCAGCAGCCGCGGUAAUUCCAGCUCCAAUAGCGUAUAUUAAAGUUGUUGCGGUUAAAAAGCUCGUAGUCGGAGGUGUGUCUCGGACGGUCGGUUCGCCGCUUGUCGGUGCUCAACUGGCCGGGUCCGGACGUCCUGCCGGUGGGGCUGUAAAAGGCUCCGUUAUCCUUCUUUGGUCCUCUUCAUUGAGUGCCUUGGUGGGCCGGCACGUUUACUUUGAACAAAUUAGAGUGCUCAAAGCAGGCCGUUGGUCGCCUGAAUACUGUGUGCAUGGAAUAAUAGAAUAGGACCUCGGUUCCAUUUUGUUGGUUUUCAGAACUCGAGGUAAUGAUUAAUAGGGACGGACGGGGGCAUUCGUAUUGCGACGUUAGAGGUGAAAU